AUGAAAUUGAAAUCACUUUUUUGGAAACAUCGGAUGAUCGGAUCGCUAACCUUCGGUGUUUUGUGUGAACUAAGGUCAGGUAGUACUGUAAAUGGUGAAGUUGAACCAAGAUCUGCAGAAACGGACCACCCACAUGAAAUGAAAAAAUUUCAUACAACAUAUAUGUACAAUAACAAGAACACUAGUGCAGACCUCCACCAAGGAUCAUGAAAUGGAAGGAAAAAAAACUCCCCCUCCACAUAAAAGAAUGCUGAAAUGAAAGGUAACAUCUGAUGAGUAUAAUAUUAGAGGACUUGAGGCUCAUGGGAAGAUUGAUGAUAGCAUCCUACCAAACAAGGAUUUCAGGACUUAAAAAGGAACCAAGAAAUGUGGAUUUCUGGUGGAUGUUUGGAAUUUUGUUGAGGAGGCUAGAAUGUCUGUACAUGUUGCUGCCAUAAUGGAGAAGUUCUCGCCUUCAAAUAUUAUACCUUCAAUUUGAUAUUACUUUCAAUAUAGUGCAACAGAUAAAAAUAGGACAUAUGAAAAAGAUUAUCUCACCUUUCCCAUGAUUUGCUGAAUGCCACAGCUUGAUAUUUUCAGCAAUUUUUUAACAGCACCUCAGUGGCGUGGUCAGUUUGGUCUUGGCAUGCCACCUCAGUGGUCACGAGUUCAAAUCUCGGGCAUUCCAUUGAGGCAUCAGAGAUGUGUAUUUCUGGUGGUAGAAGUUCUCUCGACGUGGUUCGGAAGUCACGUAAACCCGUUGUUCCCGUUGCUGAAUAACCACUUGUUCUCUGCAACAUAAAAAUGCCAUACAAACAAUCAACCAUUCAACUCAAUUGUGAAGGCAAUCUGUACUAAAAAAAAGUUGUGCCACCGUAGACCAAGUUGGUUUUAUAAUA